rnacentral:lncRNA from 1 species
CAAGUUUUUAAAUUCUAGUCACAUGGCACUUACACAAACAACAUUUUAUUGGAAAGAAGGUACUUUUCAGCAGGACCUUUUCCCAGAUUCUGGAGGUGUCUGAUCUCUGUACUCUUCUCCUUAUGGAGCCACCCCUGAAGGAUGAGGCAUUGAGAGGCAAUAUUCCAUCCUGGUUAAGAGCAUUCCUUCUGGAGCCCGACUUUCUCAAGUCAGUUCCUGACUGCCACAUAAGCAGCUCAGUAGCCUUGAGCUGGUUACCAAGCUAUGCUGGACACCAACUUCUUCAUCUGGAAAGUGGGAUUGAUAAAGGUACCUGGCACUCAGGGCUGUUAGGAUGCUUAAAGAAACUACAUAAAGCACCAAGGACAGUGCCUGGCACAUGGUAACCACUAACAAUUUUCUUUCUUUUUUUUCUUCCUUCCUUCCUCUCUCUCUCUCUUUCUCUCUUUCUCUCUUUCUCUCUUUCUUUCUUUCCCCUUUCCCCUUCCCCCUUCCCCCUUCCCCUUUCCCCUUUCCCCUUUCCCUUCCUUUUUAUAAUCAUUUAACUAAACUUCUGACUGGAUAUGCUCUCCAUUUGAUAUCCAUAUGAUAUCCAUUUCAGAUCUUCCACAUAUGUCAGUCCUUUGUUUUCCAACUAUACCUGGGUUGAAUGUCAGCCAAAUGACACAUAAUUGAGAAUCUAAUGAUUUAGGUGCAUGUAUGGUGAUUUAAAAAUUCCAUGUGUCUUAGUUUGGCCUAAGAAGUGAACCCUUCUGCCCUCUACCAUCUACCCCUCCCCAGCCAGGAACAAGAAACCAUCUUGUUCGUUUCUUUCCAUGUAGAAGGAACUCAUUCCCCAUCGAUACUGGCUUUCUGUGGGCCACUCUGAUAAGGGAAUUUGUGUCUACUUUGGGGCUAAAGAAUGUUCGUACCAUCAUGGCAGUAAGCUCCUCUCCUACAGAGACUCUCCAAGAAAAGAAACUCAGAAAACACUCUUCUGCCUUGGUUUCCAAGAUGACCUUCAAAUGACUUUUAGAAACAUUUCUUAAAUCCAUUCAACUCUUUUUUUUCUUUUUUUUUUUUUGUGCCAGGGAUCGAACUUGGGACCUUACGCUUGCGAGGCAGGCGCCGGAACCACUGAGCUAAAUCCCUGGGCCAAAUCCAUUCAACUCUUAAGAGGAGGAAAACCAAAGUCAAGCUUUUUCAUUUUUAAAGGUUCUACACAAGACAAAGAGACUGUGUAUCACCAUGUGGGAGGCAGGAUGUUGAUGCCUGGAUGUUAUUCUUGGGCUGCACAAGGGCAGCAAGGCUGGAAUUUUGUCAUUGUUACUUUAGCCUCCCCACUUGCAAAGAAUUGCUCAUCCCACUCCUCUCCUGACUUCCCUCUUCACUUUCCCUUCUGACUAAUCUCAACCUGCAUUAGAGCUAAGGCAGGUGGCCAGGCCUUGUAGGUCAGGCUUGGGUAAGGCAAGUGGCUGAGUGGCAUGACUAUGAAACAGAAUGAUGAAGCCUGAGAGGUUGUUUUAGGAUUUUCCUUCUAAUCCAGAGUUGUAGUACAUUAGGAGAAAGUAAGAAUCAGUCAUGGGGGAACCAUUAAGUGUUGUGGAAUACUGAAGUCAAAAGAGGUAGAUUUUGGCCCUGAGUCCUUCUCAGACUGGCUAUGUGAUCUCUGUUCUCUUUCAGCUUUUGCUUCUCAGGGAUGGGACAAAUGCUGUUCUAAUUGGUGUUCAUUUGAUACAGGCAGCUAGUGACUGCAUGAGUUUUUAGCCUUUUGUUGUGUAUAACUUGGAUCUACCCACAUCUCACCAUUGAGUGGUCCCUGACCCUACAAAAGUCAUCAAAGAAACUCUAUGGUAGCUUUUUCAAUUAGGUCUGAUUUUUAGGGCCAUUAUUUUUCUUUUCUUUUUUUUUUUUUUUUGGUACAGGGGAUCGAACUUGGGUCCUUGCGCUUGUGAGGCAGGUGGCGGAACCACUGAGCUAAAUUCCCGGCCCAGUGGCAUUAUUUUUCAUGAAUAUUAAACUAGUAUUUAAUUCAACUAUGUUUUGUUUUGUUUUUUAUCUUUGAAAAAUACAUUUCAGCCUGGAACUUAGCCUGGACAUGGCUUAACCUCUGUAGCAUGGAGGGAUGAGUUUUACAAAGACAAUAAGAUCACCUGAAAUUCUAUAUGUUUGUGUGUACAUAUACAUGUAUGUGUGUAUAUUUAUAUGAACUAAUAUGUAUAUGACAUUGGAUUUAAAGAACAUAAUAUUUUCUCAGAAGUUCCUUCAAGCUAAUCCAAUAUGAUUUCAUGACAAUUUUGUUUAGGUUGUGCUCAGCUUAUCACUACUUUCUUGCCUCCUGCCAUUCCUGUCAAUAUUGCUGAAUAAAGCAGAAUUUUAAGAACACCUCCAGGUAUUUUUAAGUGAAGCCAGUAAACAGUUUUAGCUGACACCUCCAGUGUAGCUCAGUGACACAAGCCAACACAAACAGGGAGUGGGAGGGUUGCUGACAGUUCUGGGCACUGAGAGCUUAGGACUGGUUUGGUGAGGCAGACUUGAAAUCAAGCAGUGACUCGCGUAGGAGUCAGGGAGGAUUCAAUCAUGUUGCCUCUUGUACAAGCUCCUUCUACAAGGAAAGGAAAUUCUAGAAGAGGCUGGGCCCUCCUUUGGUCAAAGCAAGGGAUAGAAACUUGCAUGACACAGAUGAGCUGAGGUCCACUGAUCCUGACCCAGUACAUCUUGCUUGAGGUCUCCAUGCUGUAGCAACAGUGGAUUCUCCUGUUUGGCAUUGGGGCUAUAACUGAAGCUCCAGCAUUAUCCUGUAUAUUCAUUAGGAUCCUGAUUGGACCUUUGAAAUGAUGAGAUUUCUAAGAACAGUGACUUAAAUAAAAAAUACUUGGCUUUUACCUUAUAUUGUUGGGGGCCCUGCUCAUAUACAGUGCUUGCUCCGAUCAAUAUUUUCCUGUUAUCUUAAAAAUGAAGCUGUUCUGUAGCCAUAACAUAAGCUUUAAAAACCUAAUGACAAACUGCUACGAAUAGUUGCAUAGACCAUAGUUAGAACCCAACAGCAGACACUAUGGAUGUUCUGGCCAUACCUGUUGGUAUACCCCAUUUCAUACACUCAGGUGGCUUUGAACUACAAGAAUUUUUGCCCUUAGGCUUCCUCUAGCCUCUUGGUAGUAUGCUGUACAUGCAGGGUUGGGCACAAGUGCCUGGAAGUUGCUAGACAGCAAGCAGCAUGAGAGUUGAUAUGCAAAUACUUUAGCUUUCUCAUUCCUUGGACAGCUGCAGGGUGACUGAACCCCAAUCACCCACUUUAGUAACUAGCUCAUUGGCCUAUCCUGUACUGCUUCUUUUCCAUCCGUAUCUCAUUUUCUUAUUUGCCUGGUCUUUCUGGGAUUACUGCCUAAAUUAAAUUAUUACUUGAAUUCAGGAUUUGCUUCUGGGAAACCCAAACUAAGAUACUCUUAUCCUUGCUACCCACUUCUGUCUGAUCACAGUAACCUUAACACAUACUCUGAAUGAUUCAAACAGCUUUGACCCUUCCCUUUCCAUGCCUCCUCAUGCUUCUUUCCUCACUUUUCACAAUAACGUAUACACCAGGAGGUUGCUACCCUGCCUGGUUUCCUUCAGGCUUGCUCUGAUUCCUCUGCACAGGUGGCAUAUUGCUUAGAUUUUGCCCCAAUUCUGACUGCACAUUAAGAGAUAGGGAGUAGGACUUAGGAGCAUAGGUCUAUCCUGUUGUGAUGGAUAGCAUUCUCUUUCCAUAUUUCCUCCCCCAACAGGGAGAGGAUGGAAGUGUUUUUCAUGAAGACAGGAAAUAUCUUCACCGCAGCCUUGGGAAUUAGAUGAAAUUACCCUAAAGGAGCAGGCUCAUUGGGUGAGGAGAGAUGUGUGGGCUGAAUUUUCAACUGUCUGAUUAACAAUAGUGCUGUGUGGCCACACCCUGCAAUUUUACACAACAGAAAAAAACAACUUGAUGAAAUAAAAUCAAUGUUGUCUUCUUUAAGAUGUACCAUCAUUUCUCUGUUGCAGUUGUGCAAGAUUCAGCAACAAGAAGCAGGUACUCCUUCCUUGUCAGGAUUCCAGCAUGCACCAACUUCAGCCACAUCAGUUGAUAGUUAAACAGAAGGAGCACGGUUUAAUUUUCAGUCACCAUGUACAGGAACUCUGAAUCCUUGCAUGGAGCGUGAAUUUUGCUGCUAGCUCUUUAGGACACAAGUCACUCUGUAAGCAUUUGCAUCAUGAUCAUGUCACUUCCUUCAAAAUCUCUCAGUGGUGGGUCACUGUGCCUCUGUCAUUCAGUUCAUACACUGACAGCAAAGCAAGCCUUGUCUUCUAGGGAGAACUCAUAGGACAUUUUGCAAAAUGGAUAAUCACUGGAGGGAACCAACUGUCAAACCAUGCAAGUGAAGCAAAGGAAUCAAAGAUGAGAACACAGGAAGUGAAUUCAAAUUGAACAUAAACGAAGUCAAAAGAUACAGCUUAGCAUAGGAAGGUUGAUAGUCAUUCUGGACUCUACCUAAGCAACCAAAGGAAUUGAGUGAGAGUUAACUUACUUACAUAAAUAAGGAAGUGAUGAAAGGAGGAAGAUGUCCUAGGGAAGUGAUGUUAGCAGAAAAUCACAUUAAUGGAAUACUCAGAUAUUUCACGUUAUUGAAAAUACAAAGGAUAAAAUGUCAGAAUUUAAUCCAAAUUUAGAAAGAUAACUGACAAUUUAUCAAGGCAUAGAGGAGAUAUUUGCACAUUAUUGUAAGAUAUAUGACAAAAAGGUAGAGCUUUGUAUUUUAAAUAUAUUUUUCCUGUAUAUUACAUCCUAAAAACCCUCUUGGCUCAGAAAUGCCUGCCCCUCCUGGAGCUAGCCAAUCUUGCCGGAAAGGACUCAAUCAGGAGCUGCUUCUGAUAUGGAAACUACCCAUACUUUGAACCCAGGCCCCUUCUCUUUGGGGCCUAUCCCCAGGAGGCAAUAUUCCUCUGCCUUAGUCACCCCAGGGCCAUCACCAGGCAACCAGGACCCUAUAGCACAAAACCUGCUGAAAUUAUUCAAAUGAACCAACCUAAACUUUUCACCCUCCCUGACUUCCUUUCCCCUCAGAAACCACAAUAAAGGCUCUGGACUAAUCCUUGCCCUGGCUCCUAUAUUCUACCUCCUCACCCUUCUGAGGCUUCCCCAUGUGCUGGGCCUCUGGUUGUGACUUUGAUACUGUACACUUGGUUUUCUUGAACCUCUUCUCUGGGUUCUCUUGUACACAUGACUGAGCAUCACAUAAAAGCACAGAGAACACACUCCUCAAACAAAGAAAACCCUUUAACUUUUGAUAUUAUUUCUAUUCUUAAAUUAUAAUAUGCUAAAUAUUUACUUUACCAAUUUUUGUUAUACAAUUUUUAUAACCUGU